rnacentral:rRNA from 1 species
GACGAACGCUGGCGGCGUGCUUAACACAUGCAAGUCGAACGAUGAACCACUUCGGUGGGGAUUAGUGGCGAACGGGUGAGUAACACGUGGGCAAUCCGCCCUCCACUCUGGGACAAGCCCUGGAAACGGGGUCUAAUACCGGAUACAACCACUACAGGCAUCUGUGGGUGGUGGAAAGCUCCGGCGGUGAAGGAUGAGCC